AUUGAACGCUGGCGGCAGGCCUAACACAUGCAAGUCGAGCGAGCGGGGGACGUGAGAGUAAUGUCUGGGACACUGCGUGAUGGAGGGGGAUCACUACUGGAAGCUGUAGCUUAUACCGUAUAGCAUAAGAUGUGCCCAGAUGGGAUUAGCUAGUGGGUGGGGUAAUGGCUCACCUAGGCGACGAUCCCUAGCUGGGCUGAGAGGAUGACCAGCCACACUGGAACUGAGACACGGUCCAGACUCCUACGGGAGGCAGCAGUGGGGAAUAUUGCACAAUGGGCGCAAGCCUGAUGCAGCCAUGCCGCGUGUGUGAAGAAGGCCUUCGGGUUGUAAAGCACUUUCAGCGAGGAGGCGUUACUCGCAGAAGAAGCACCGGCUAACUCCGUGCCAGCAGCCGCGGUAAUUC
rnacentral:rRNA from 1 species